rnacentral:tRNA from 1 species
GAGGGGAUGGCCGAGGGCGAUGGCGCCGCCGUUGGGGUUGACGCGCGCCGGGUCGGCUCCGGUCUCCUUCA